AUGACUAUAUUCCUCUGCUGUUGGAGGGGUUUUGUAAAUGCCGCAUAUCAGGGGGCAGCACUCCCUGAAGUGUGCAGACCGGAGAGUGACCAGAUCUCUGUAGGUGGGUACACCUGUUGUUAGCCUGGUCACUCUGAUGGCUGCCAUACUCAGGGAAUAACUGUGGCAGAUUGGCUUUGCCCGAUGGUGUCCGAUGUCACUCCUUGCAUGGACUGGGUGUUGGGCAGGGUUGUGGGGACCAGCUGCUCUGGGGCAUGUUUGUGAGGAAACAUUUACUAAUCUUGGCUAUGGAGAGGAUUCUGUGACCUUCACAGAGUCAAUACAGGUUCUGGUCUGGGCUUUGAGAGACUGAAUGUGGAGUCUGAGAUUGCAAGUGUCCUCGAUCAAAACUAAGAUCUAGGUCUUUAAUGACCUUGAUCUGUCAGCAGUGUGUCUGUCUGCAGAGAGAAUGUCAAUGGCGUCAAGAGGUUCACUUGCCUCGGCAGCAACAUUUCUGUCUCUGGUGAAGUCCGUAGAUGGAUUGGGAGAGCAUGGAUGGUCAUGAGGUCACUAGAAAGGGGUGUGUGGUGCUCCCAGUAUCUUUGCAAGAGGACAAGCAUCCAAGUCUUUAGAGUCCUGGUGCUCCUUGUUUUGCUAUAUGGCUGCAAAACAUGGAAGCUAUCCAGUGACAUGAGACGAAGACUGGACUCCUUUUGGUACUGUGUGUCUUCAGAGAAUCCUUGGGUACCGCUGCUUUGAUUUUGUGUCAAAUGAGCAGUUGCUCAGGGAGUCCCAAAUGAGGCACAUUACCUACAUUGUGAAGGAGCAUCAGAUAUGGCAGCACUAUGGCCAUGUGGCGUGAUUCCCUGAGGGUGAUCCAGCCCACAGGAUCCUCAUUGCUGAGGACCUGAGCAGUUGGGCAAGGCCGAGGGGACAUUCAAGUAACACUGCGGCAAAUAGAUGGGCAUUUCUGGAGGGUGGGCCUGGACCACGUGUUGGCCUGGGGCUGGUCGCCAGUCAGGAUUCUGAAGUUUCAUUGUGUGGUGGGCGCAGCAAUGCACAUGUUCCCCAAUCUGACCUGACCUGAUUAUUAGAGUUACACUAUUAUUGUGACAAUCUUAUUUAGCUAAGUAUCAAGUUAGUAAUAAUUUGUGCAAUAUGUAAUUUGUAUAAUGUUUAUUGUAUGAUCUGUAUAGCCAACAGGAAAAUGAUGAACUGACUGAGGUUCAUGAAAAAAUAGAAGAGGUAGUACUAGCAGCUGAGGGCCUUCCAUUGGUGGUGGCCGGCCUGAAGGAGCUGGCAGGGCUGAAGAGUGCUUUAACCAGGCAGCAGAUAUUAGCCAUGAGGGAUGCCUUUUCUUGUGCUAUUUGCAAAGACAUAAUGGAGGACCCAAUGGCAUCAAGCUGUUGCAGAAGUCUGAUAGGAUGCCGACUCUGUGUUGAGCAGUGGCUGGAAUCCUCCAGUCAGUGUGUGAAAUGCAGGGGAGAUUGUCUUUAAAACAGUCUCUUACCAGAAUUAGUGGACUUGGGGAGGCACUUGUAAUCAUGAAGGAUAUUUGUCAGCAAGAAUGAAAAAAUUAAAAUGCAAUAUUUCUAUACAUUUUGCAUGUUCAAAGAAUGUUCAUUAAGUUUAUAUUUUGUUUAAUCCACCCAACCAGCUCUACAAAUGUUGGGAGGCUAUUAGUACGUGUUUAUUUUUGGUUCAGCACAGCAGUGUCCAGUAAGCCUCAUUAUGUUAGAUAUGGUGCUAGUAUGUUUUGAAUAGCACAAUGUUAAAACCAAAAAGUAAAAUAAUUCUUAAUUAAUAUACAUUAGUCAAUAAUUGAUAUACCUAGAAAAAACUACGUAAAAAGUACAUGAUUUGUUCCUUGCUACUGUCAGUAUGCAAGUCCUUUGAGAGUUGCACAGUGUUGAAACUUAAAAAUAAAUCAAACAACCUGUUGUUACAUGUAAA